UGACUGCUCUUCCAGAGGACCCGAGU
rnacentral:piRNA from 1 species